UUGGCGUGAGGUUGCCAUAGCGACAGGAAGAGCCAGCUUGGCUUUUCCAAACCUUGCUCCAGUUCCAUCACCACCUUCGGUGGCUGCAGGCCUGGGCCCCGCUGCUGGCCCACGGGGCUUUCGUCCCAUCGCUGCUCGCCAGCAGCAGGGAGAGUGGGGCAAGCGGCCAGCAGGCUGGCCAUGCUCCAUGGCAGAGGGGUCAUGCCCCCCAGUCAGGACAAGGGAGGGAGCUGCUACUUCCCUGCCUGCCUCAGCAAUGGGACGCCCCACCCCAUGCACCCGCUGCCCUGCUCUCCCUUGCUAUAGGAACUCUCAGCAGGCAGGCCCCAGGGGCGUAGGCUGGGGCAUCAGUGGGGUUCCCCUGCUCAAGGGGCCCACAACGGGAUGGGACCUGGCUGCUCACAAUGAAGGAUCAGUCGAGUGGCCAGCACCUUUAGAGAGGGGCUCACGGCCACAGCCCUGCUCUAAGCCCUCAGCCUGAUCCCACGCACGGGCGGGAGAAGGCACAGAAGUGUCCCUGCUGGGAGUAGCAGUUGAGAUCUACGUUCGCUGCACCAGCCCCCUACCCAUCAUUCAGUCCCAGCACACCCCAGUGCUUGGGACAGGUCCAAUUUCCAAUCGCUCCUGUGCUAAGCCUCCUACAGGAAAGGGUGGGAGUCCAUUCUACGCUGCCCCCACCAAGCCAGGAACGUGGGGUUUGUGGCCGCAGGAGUCACCCUCUCCCUCCGUACCGCCCAGGGAGGCAGCUACGUUCCAGCCUCAGGUGCCCAGAUGAUGUUUGCAGUUGCAGGCGCUGUGGGGUUUUGAGACUUACCGCUGUGAGGAGGUGACUGAGUAGGCGGCUAGUAACGAGCAGAGCCCAGCAGCACCAGCACAGGCCCAGGACAUAAGAGCCAGAACCCGUUGGUGAACUUCCUGGCCUCUUGCACCUGACUCAUCGCUCCAUCUCCGCAGCCACUGAGUGGGGAGCUCUUGGGACCCCCCAGCCCCUGAGGGACAGACCACCAGGGGAAAGGAGCUUCUAUAGAGGGAGGGGGCCCAAGGAAUAAUAUCACUAUGCAAAGGGGGGUUGGGGGAAGGAGUGUGAUGGAACAGCAACAAGCUUCCCCAGCAGCACCAUCCGCUCUCUGCUAAGGUGCCUGCCGACAAACACCCCCCAAGGACAGCCAAGGUCUCCUGCUGUUGGCUGGACCAGAAUCCUGGAGCAUCUCAGCACAAAGCCCCAGGGGCUCUGCCCCCAGCCACACACAGGGCCUCGAACUCCCGCCGCUGCUCCUCCUGCUCCUGCUUGUGCCGGCGCUGCUGAUAGGCCUGGCAGAGGGCAUACAGGAUCACCGCCACGCCUGUCAAGCCGCACAGCACCGCCGCCCCCUUCCAGAAGCUGCUCACUGACUCCAUCUCCGCCAGCAGCGUCUGCCAGUCCCCCAGUUACUAGAAUGGAGAUGCCAAACACACCAGGAGACGGCAUGCUGCUGCUGUGAGAGUCGCUGAGAGAUGGGCCCUAGUGCACCAAGCUGGAUAAGUGUGCAAGGAUCUUACCUUCUAAGGCAACAUAAUGCAGGCACUGGCCACUGGUGGCAGACAGCAGGUCAGGCAGACCAUCAUCUACCUGAAGCUUCGGGGCCUCCUGCAGAAAGAGAAGCCAGAAAUGACAGGAGACCCGGCCCACGGGGACUAUCAUGCCCAGCAGGCCGUACGCACUUCGGAAACUACAGGUCCCAGCAUGCAGUGGCCAGCCAGGCCAGCUCAACUCAAAACCAAGUUCUGUAGGGGUACAGGUGUGUGCCAAGGCAGACAAAGGCCACCGAGGUGUGCAAGUGACAGCGACGCAGAGCACCCGGGGGCAUUGCCGGCACGGGGGUGCAAACAGGACGGCCAGAGCCAGGGCUGCGCUGGCUGCUGUCCCUGGAGGUGGAGCGCUGCAGGCUGGGAUCUGUAGGCCCCGUGGCUGAGCCCUGCGAGGCAGGGAGCAGGUCCCCCCUCCCCCUUGCCCUGUUUGGGCACCUGGACACCUGUUAAGGGGGCCCUGGGCUGGGCAGCGUUUGGGGCGCGGGCCGGGGGCCCCAGUACCUGGAUCCGAGCCAGCGCCUUGGCCUUCUUCCUGUACAGGUAAUAGAAGAGGCCGGAGAAGGCCAGGCUGGAGGCCAGGCCCAGCAGCUCCCCGGAGGUGACGGGCAGGGCGUCCAUGGUGCCGGGCAGGGGCGCCGCGACUGCAAGGAGAGCACACGGGGGGCUGCCCGUUAGCCCGGGGCUCCCACGUGGGGCUGGGCUCGGGGGGCGCCCCGGGGGCCCCUUACUGGGAGACUCACCCGGGCCUGGGAGGAACCGCCCCGCUUCCGGCGCCCAUUAGGGCUCCAAGGGCCCAAGAGGCCAGGACCGUCAGGGAGCCACAGCCCCGCCGCGCUGCCCCCUGGGAGAUGGAGUCCGGCCGCGCUCGGCUCCUGGGGGCCGCCGCCGCGGUGCCGAGAGCUCGUGGAACUACAGCUCCCAGUGUGCACCGCGCCGCGCCCUAGGGGUGCUCGGAACUACUACUCCCGUCGAGCCUUGCGCCGCGCAGACCUUUAAAGGGGCGUUGGAGAGGGGGAGACACGUCGGGCUAAGGGCAUGCGGCGCCACUCCAGGGACUACGGCUCCCGUGAGGCACUGCGGCGAACGCGCUGGCCACGGCCCUAGAGUGGGGGGAGGGGCACGCGGGGCGUCGGUCCUCGCUACGGGGCCUGCAGCAGCCCCGUUCUUAAUACAGGAACACGAGGGGCUGGUCCUGGCCCCAAGGGGCAGGGGCGGUUCAGACUUGCACGCUUUUCAUCUCCCUGACAUGCAAACUUCUCCUCUGCUGCACGCUAAUCCCCCCUUGCACUCACAUGUUGGGUUGUUAUUGUAGGGUCGCUCCCCAGGCGGGUUUGUUGUGGUAAGUUGGCUGAGAAGUACUGGUACUGAUACUGUAUUAGUGUUAUCGCAAGGGAUGCUAAGAGCUGUGCAGCUUAUACUGGCUGGUUACUGUUGGGUUGUCCCUGGCUGCCUGUGUAGUGGUGUGUUAUUGUAGGGUUGCUCAGGGAACCUGGACAUAUUGGUUUGUCAGAAGGGCAGCUUAUGUGCCCUGGUCUUGAGUUGCUUAUACAGAUGACAGGAUGUCUUUAUUCUAAUGCCCACUAGAGAACUGGUGGGGAAGUCUGAGAGGAGGAAUGCUGUUUAUUAGAGCAGUGCCCGGCUGGCAUCGAAUGGCAGCACAGUCAGGGCUCUUCCUGAGUGGGCCCCGAGCAGACCUUCUAUCACUGUUACCUUGUGGUAGCACCAAAAGGUGCCAGCAUGAACACACAGCCAAAGCAUCUACAGUCUAAAAUGAGCAACAUGGGAAUGGGGAGAGAGACGGUUGGAGAUCCUGUAUUUAAACAGACAUAGCUGCAUUAGCUCAACAUAGAUACAUUUGCUUCCUAAUUACAUAAAUUAGGCCAGUGUUUGGGUGCACAGGCUGAUGCACCUGAGGCCCAGAUUCUACAGUGGAGCCAGUGCGAAUGUGGAUGCUCACCAUCUUUGAAAUUCAGGCCCAGGAGAUGUCACGCUGCAGCAUAAACCAGCCAAGUUGUUAAAAAAAAUCAAGAGUCGGGACCCCCAAAAUCAUGAGAUUUUAAUAAAUAUAUAAAUGGAGGUGGGGGGUGUUGGAGCCUUUUGGGGACACAAUUUCCAGUUUUUCUCUGCAACCAGGAAGGGCUAGUAAUUAUCUUUGAAAUUCAAAUUGAAAUCCUAACAUCAUCCCAUGACUCCAGGAGCUGGGGUUUUAAGAAAAUCACCAAAUGUUGCAAAUCUUGUAUAAUUGCAAGAGAUGGGAACUUGGUUUCGCAGCCAAAGAUCAGAGAUGAAGGUGUCUGUUGAAAGGGGGCCAGGGCAGGCUCUAGGCCUGGGUAGGCAGCGCAUCACACCUUCGCAUGAUAUUGUAUUUUGGCCAAGGAGAAACCAAGUUGGUGGCCAACAUGGCAAAUCUAGGGAUUGUAUGUGAAGGAACCGAACUGCUGUCUGGAGACUGGCAUUUCUCAGCAGGCUUUGGUGUGUCAUAGAAUCUCAGGGUUGGAAGGGACCUCAGGAGGUCAUCUAGUCCCACCCCCAAGUCCACCCUAUGUGGGUGAAACCUGCCCAUGACCUCCUGCCCUUGAGCAAGUGACUCAUGGCUGGGAGCAGCAGGGGAAUAACAGAAGCCCAGGGCUUGUCUCCACUGCAGAGUGAACUCAGGCUCUUCCUCAGGUGUUGCUCCAACCUCACUCCUGUCCACACACACAACCCUCUCACCUAGCUGGCCUAUUCUGGGGUAUUGGCUGAAGCCCAGCAUGGGUGCAGGCUACCCCACUGGAGUGCUGAUAGUCCCCCAGUGCCUUCCCACAGUUCUCCCAGUCUCCCCAGGACAGACAAGUUCUCCCCCAAUUACCUGGGAAGGAAUCACGGAGCCGCUCAGCUCGCUGCAGGGCUCAGAGCCAUGGGAUGUGCCCCCAGCAGUCCUAGCAACACAUGGAGGAGUGCAGCAGGACCGGUAGUUUGGGUAGGGCUUUGCAGUGGGGAGGUGUGAUGGGGUCUGCUUACCCCGCACUAUCCCAGACAGGGUUAAGCCCAUGGUAUUGACAGCGGAAAGUCCCGCCUCCCUGGCAAGACUGGGCAUGCUCCAAGUGCUCUAGUAGUAUAAAGGGAGGGAGACCAGCUCAUUCUGGGCUGGAGGCCACAGGGGAAGGAUCUGCCUGGGAAGCUCCUGCAAUGGACCAGCCACAGCCUCUGACUGCACUGGGAAUUGAAGCUGUUCAUGACCCACCUGCACCCUGGUGACUGGAGGAAACCCUGGAGAUGACUAGCCCUGCUGAACAUAGAGAACCCGACAUCUCAUGGGAAACCCCAACACAGACUCUGGUGGCUUUCACGAACAAGGAGCCCAGGGCGAAGCCCAGCGUGUCGUCGGUGUUGGAGAUGCAGGUUUGCCAGCGAGGGGUGCAGGACUCCAGAGAGAGAGCGAGACAGACAGGGCCACAGUGGGACCCGCCCAGCAAAUGGGAGCCUCCCGCUACCAAUCCCCUGUCACCGGCCAGCGGAUAGAGCCCAGCCCCUGCACACAGCAGCACCAUGCUGGUUCCUUCCCCGCCCCGGCCCUUCACCCACCUCCAGCAGCACCAUGCUUGUCCUCUCCCCGAGCAGCACCGGGCUGGCCCCUUCCCCAGGACCCACCUGCAGCUCUGCGAUGCUCAUCUUGUGAUAGAUCUUCUCGUCAUCCCGCCUCUCGUCCUGGGGGACGGUGAUAUUGGCCAGCAGGGUCUCAAACUCCAGCACCUGCUCCAUCUGCUCCUGGGUGGAGACCUUCUCUCCACCCAGCAGCAUCCCCAGCUCCACCAUAUAGUCCAGGUAGUAAUCCCGGGAGGGGAGGAAAAGGCCUGACUGAUCCACCUGGAGACGGAGAACAAAUGAACCUGGAUUGCAUAGCCGCAGCCACUGCUCCGUAGCACAAAGCCCCCUGCCCUGCCUCCACAUCCAGUCACCGCUAUUCCCGGGAACCAGUGGGGGUGGAGGAACUGGAGCAACCCUAGCCCUCAGCAGUAGACCAGGGCCAUCAAAUCUGACCUGUGGGGAAUCCCCAAGCGGCAUUCACCUCCCCAGAAGCAAGAGGCUGAGGCACCUUCCUGGGGUCUGUAUGUGAUGUGCCCCCAAAACAGUUACUGUCCCCACUGAACCCCUCUCAGUGUGUCCCCAGGUGGGAGGGGGCAGGCAGAGGGCUGGGCGUCUGAACGGGGCCACUUAAGCCCAGAGUCAGAAAUACCCAGCCAUGAUAGUCCUGUGCUCCCUCUGACCCCCUGUGCUCCUUCUGUCCUUGGCUAGGUUUCUUUAUGGGUCCUUCUCCCCCACGGCUGGCUGGCUCCUCCACCCCCAGUUUGUGGUGACGGUGUUUCCGAGCGAGGGGCAAUGGGAGAGGUUUUCUUUGGGCCCAUUGCGCGCUGGGAGCUCGGUGUGAGGUUCUGGCACAGUGCCCCCUCCCAAGUCCUCACAGGGGCAGGGUCGCUGGGCUACCUGAAUGACGUUGCUGUUGGAACUCUUGGAGUCGGCGCCCAC